UGUUAGCUGCGCCGAACCCAGCCAAUGGCGGCCGCGGCGGACGGAAAGCCGGAAGGCCCAAGCCGCGCAGGGGCCGUUUUAGGGCUCCGGGUCUCCUGCGACCCGGGCGCCGGGAGACUUGUCCCGCAGUCCUGGAGGGCGGAGAGGGCAGCCCAGUUGCCCUCCCGACACUCCAAUCGUGUUGGAGUUAAGUCUGUGCAUAUAUAUGUCUUUAUAUUUAUAUAUUAUAUAUGUAUGUACAUACCUGGAUAGGGGUGUGUGUCUGUAUUUAAUAGGGCAGGUUUAAGCAAGUCUAUGUACAGACCUGUAUAGAUAUAUGUGUGUAUGUUCGUGCAUAAAUAUAUACAUUAUUAUUUUUAAUAGGGCAGGUUUAAGCAAGCCCGUGUAUACAUACUUGGAUAAAUGGUGUGUGCGUGUGUAUAUUUUUUUAAUAGGGCGGGUUUAAGUGAGCCUGUGUGUACAUACUUGGAUAGGUGAUUUGUGAGUAUUUUUUUUUCCAGCGUUUGGGCUACAGAGAGGCAGGCAUUUGAGCGAGCUCCCCCGAGCCUGCCCAGGAAGCGGCGCAUCACCCCUCAGGAGAGGUGGUGCCUCCAGUUCCACCCUAAGCACUGUGCCGUCAACCCCUCCUGUAUCUGCAUCUGCAGGGCUUGUAGUAUGUACGUUCAAUUCCUUCAGCAACGUUCAAUGAAUGAGUGCCUACUGUGUACCAAGCACUGUUCUAGGCACUGGAGAUACAAAAGGCCAAAAUUCCUGCCCUCAGGGUUUGCCGGCAGUCUAAAUGGACAAGUAUUUGUUGCACCCUUCUUUAGAGUCUGACAGUGCAGAGUAGGGGAGAUGAAUCGCUGCAGUGAGUGAUGUCAAAGACCUCACCCAAGACUAGGGAGACACCAUGUUUGCAUAAAUACCUUGGUCUGCCUUUGAGAAAAACAUGGAGUGAGUUAAAGGAAUUCAGAUGUGGGAGCAGUGAAAGGCAUCCGAGGUAAGAUCAGGAAAAGCUCCCUAGGGCAGGUGGCAAAUGCGGUGGGUCUGCAGAGAUGUGGAGGGUGAGGCUGUGUGUUUCAGGUCAGUAGAGUAGAAGGGCGGUUUGACGUUUGAAGAACAGGAAUUUAGACUAGAAAAAGCCUUUAAUGACUGGUUGUGGCAUGUGCACUUAAUCUGGUGAGAAAUGGGUAAGCAUUAAAUGUUUUUUCUAUCCAUUAAAUGUUUUGAACCAAAGAAAUUUUGCAGUGGGAGUUGGAUUUUUGAAGGUUGCUGUCAGCAGAAUGAUGAUUGAAAUGGAAAGAGGUAAGCAGGAGAGCUACCUGGAAACUACUGCAAUAAUCUAUAGAAAGCAGUAAAAUCCUGUGGUACUAAAAAGGCAUUGGUGAAUUAAAAGAUAGUGGAUGGAUUAGUUACGUUUCAGCAGUAGAAUAUUCAAGAGCUGCCAAAAAAUUGAAUUUAAUUUUCCUUCCUAAUUAUGUUUUACUUAAAUUAUUAUUUAAAUUAGUUGGAGUUCCUGGAGCAGCCCAA
rnacentral:lncRNA from 1 species